ACCAUCCCUCAACUGUGGCGGAAAGGGUGUUGUUCCAGCUGGAAGAGUGGGCGAACCUGAGGGAGCAGAAGAACCUCACCAUUCCAAGUCCGGCACAGGGGUGGACGAAGCCACCAAAUGGGUAAAUGCGGACAGGGGCGGAGGGCUCGGUAGGGCGAGGUAUGGCGCUCGCCAUACCUUCUCCUCCCGCCUACCCCCGGGAGUUCAGGUCUGCAGAGUGCGAGACGCAGAGACCGCGACGACCGCGAGACGGCGAUAGAGCGCAGGCUGAACAACGCUGCGACCUUCGAGAUGCCAAAGCCGUGUGCGGCUUGUUUUCUUGUGUAAAUUAGGCUCUUUACCAUGAAACCCUAACCCAAAUUUCUCUAAUCCCCAAUCCCCGAUCCAUCCUCAUCGGCAGAGCAGGCGAGAGGCGGCGCUGCGGGCGACGGCCGACAGGGCGAGCGCCGGCGCUGCGGCGGCGCGGCGAGCCGGCGACGCGAGGCAGCGCGCGGCGGCACGGCUGCGCAGGGCAGCGGCGCGGCGGGCCGGCGGCCAGGCAGGCAGGCAACACCGCGGCAGCAGGAGGCAAGGCAGGCGGCAGGCAGCACCGCAGCAGCCAGCAGGAAGAAGGCAAGCAGUCAGGCAGAAGCAGGCAAGCAGCCAACUAGCCAAGCAAUCAACUUAUCAACCAAAAAAUGGAUAGAAAGAGAAAAGGAAAAGCAUUGGCUUCACAAAGAUAUUUGAAGAGUUACUGAAACCCGGGCACUAGUUGUGCAUCUUAAGCAGAAGAUCAUGGGCCACACCGCCACACCUAAUUUUUUUUCCGUCCUCCGCCACUGAAUGCGGAUGGUGCAUUUUCAUCAAAUAAACAUAAGGGAGCAUCAGGGGUGGACAUGAGGAAUGCUUUGGGAAUUUUGUGGCUGCAACAACUAGUUUUUAUUCACAGGUAGCAAAUGCCACAGACGGAAGUGUUGGCAUGUAGGCAAGCCACAGAACUGACUAUGGAGAAGGGGUGGAUAGAGUGAUAAUUAAAAUAGAUAAUUUGGAGGUGGUGGGGAUGCUAACACAGGUUGGAGUAAACUGUUCUAUGUAUGGGACAAUAAUCCAAAACCUCGAUAGCAGGUUAAAAUCGUUCCGGGAAAUGAAGGUCCAAUUGGUGUGACGAUCAGCAUAUAAAGCUGCUCACUUGAUAGGCAAGGAAGGAUGCGUGAUGGGCGAAACAUCGAAUUGGCUGUCAGUUCCAUUGGCCUACAUCAACCAUAUUUUAAAGGAAGAAUGUAAUUUUGAUAGCUAUAUUCGGUAGUUAUUUUUGUGAGGUCUUACCUAAAAAAAGAAAACUUGGAAGUAAAAAGGUAUAGUUCUUUUAGUUAAAGGCUAAAAAAAUAAAUUCACAACAAAGUUUAAAUGUUCAACAGACUGUUGUUAAAAAUGUCAAAACACAGAGAAGGCCUCUGCAGCUGUUGCUGCUCCCA